AGGUUCCUGGUGGACUCAAUGAUAGAGAAUAUUGAAAGCACAGAGAAGCCAAUUGUUGAAAAAAAAGAUAUAGAUGUUACAGAGCUUCCCAUUGUUCUUGGUGAUAACGAACAACAAAAAAUACUGGAAAACGCACAGGUUCAGCGUUCCUGUUGUCAAUAAAGAUAGGUGUCAGUUCAUCAAAUAUUGUGUUUAGUACAUAAGAUCAAAUAAGAUAAAACAGUUGGUUA